rnacentral:rRNA from 1 species
GAUGAACGCUGGCGGCGUGCCUAAUACAUGCAAGUCGAGCGCACGGACGAGAUGCUUGUUUCUCUUGUAUUAGCGGCGGACGGGUGAGUAACACGUGGGUAACCUACCUUUAAGCCUGGGAUAACUUCGGGAAACCGGAGCUAAUACCGGAUGAAAUUUUGAACCGCAUGGUUCAAAAUUGAAAGACGGACUUGCUGUCACUAAUAGAUGGCCCCGUUCUGCUUGAGCUAUUGGGUAAGGUAAGGGCUUACAAAGGCAACGAUCCUUAGCAGACCGGAGGGGUGGACCGGCCACAUGGGAACGGGACAAGGGCCAAGACCCCUAGGGGAGGAGCCGGUAGGGAAUUUUGCGCAAUGGGGGAAGGCCGGACGGGGCAACGCGGCGGGAGGGAGAAGGGUCUUCGGAUCUUAAAACUCGUUGAUUAGGGAGGAACAUAGGUGUAAGGAACUGUGCACAUCGUGACGGUACCUAAUCAGAAAGCCACGGCUAACUACGUG